AGGUAGGUUAUUUUGACGUGAAAGGCAAUGACCUUCCUUGUGAUAAAGACGGAAAAUGUCACGAAUUCCGACUACGCAGUGCAGAACAGGCCAUGAUGUUGUGUCAAUCAUACGGCAAAGAAUGCCAGGGAUUCGUUUUUGCGUCUAAAUCAGGCCGUCUCUUUCUCAAAACUAACGUCAGUAGCGAGCCACUACACGAUCCAUUCUUGGAAUUUUACGUCAGAGCAGAAUUUCGAAAAAAUGUGGAUUUACUCGAGGAAAGGCAAUGCGCAACUCCUAUUGAAGAUUUCCAAGAAUCGUCUCAGUUCAAAUGCACUUUGCCUGUUCUUGAUCCAUUUAAUGCGAAUAUAAUGAAAUAUAUGGAUAAGAUGAAGACCGUGAUUGCAUGCCAAGGAGAACAUUAUACAACAUACCAUGGUGGUAUACUGUCACUCGUGCGAACAG